AGCCAAUCAAAAUGCUACCUAGAUUAAUAAUAAAGCUAAAUCAAAAUGUUAGGCAUGUUUCCCUUACAUCUUUUUCCUGAUUCCGAAUUUUAGGGUUCGUCGCUUCUGAAGAUCUGAUUCAGUCUACCAACAAUGACGGCUUCUUCAUAAUCUACAAGUAAGUAUCUGUUCAUGUCGUUUCGCUUCUUCACCUCCAAACAGUUACAAGUCGCGUUGAUUCAAUGAAUCUUCAUGUCCACUACAAUCACGAUCUUGCACUCAAUGAAUCUUAACCUUCUUCGAGGCGGUGAGAAUUCUCACCUAUAAAAAGAUUCUGGGAAGCCAGAAACUUUAAAGGUGCUGGCGAGUUGAUGUGUGUGAUAUGUUCCUCCUUAACGCUAAGGUCGUUUCUUUCUUCAAACUCAUGAUCAUCUUAUUUUAAAACAAAUUCAUGCAUAAAAUCUAAAGAAAAUUCUGUUUUUUUUCCGUCAAAAUAUUUAUUUCACAUAGUUUCAAUUCCGUUUGUUGAUUUCAGAAACUGAGUUUAUUUGCAGUUCUUCUAAAUAUUACCGGCAGACUGAAACUGAUGUUGAGAUGCCAUUGAAUCCUUCACGUGUUUUGUAUGAAAUGAACAGCGAUGAUGAGCAGUUCCUUGCGAGAAUUCAUGAUCGUGUUCUGGUUGCUGAGAAUAGUGCUUCUUAUGAGAUCACUGAGAACAUGUUUGAGAAGGCUUCGUACGUAAAGCAACUUGAUCACUUUACCUUAAUCGAAAUUCAAGAACUGAUGGCCGGAGCUAGAUCCUUGGAAGCAAUGAAAACAAUAUAUGAGCUUUGGAGAACCAAGAGGCAGAGUAAGGGAAUGCCACUAAUCAUGCAUCUUCAGUCAAAACCUGCAUUCCUAGACGCUAUAUGGUUCGUUACGUACUUGGGUUGACCAUCAAAUAUUCACUAUCUCUCAGCAUUCUCAGCGAAGGAAGGCAAUGAUGAUGAUGGAGAUGCCUGGAACAUAGCAUGGGCCUACUAAGGUUGAUGUUGAUGGUAAUGAUCGUGAGGAAUCACCAACUAUAGGAACAGCUGCACCAUCAUUUUCCAAGGUUGUCAAGAAGGCCUGAAUCGCAUAGUUUGCUAUGGUUUUCAGACACUCUUCAAAAGUUCUGCGUAAGUUUGAACUAAUAUAAAGAUAUUUAUCACAUGUUCUUUGCUCUCCAAGUUUCAGUUUAUUUUGUCUGCAUAUCUUUUGUAUUAAAAAAAAGGCCACCCAGAUAGUGGCGACAGUAAUCUAAUCAACUCUAAAUAUAUCUGUUGUCCAAACCCAUUCCCGACAUUCUCAACAUCAAACACUGACAUUUU